rnacentral:rRNA from 1 species
AUACGGGGGGAGCAAGCGUUGUUCGGAAUUACUGGGCGUAAAGGGCGCGUAGGCGGCCUUGUAAGUCGGGUGUGAAAUGCCGGGGCUCAACCCCGUGCACUGCAUUCGAUACUGCUUGGCUAGAGAGAGGUAGAGGCGAGCGGAAUUCCCGGUGUAGCGGUGGAAUGCGUAGAUAUCGGGAAGAACAUCUGCGGCGAAGGCGGCUCGCUGGGCCUUUUCUAACGCUGAAGCGCGAAAGCGUGGGGAGCAAACAGGAUUAGAUACCCCAGUAGUCC